rnacentral:rRNA from 1 species
CGCUGAUAGAUAGGCAUGCGUUCCAUUAGGCAGUUGGCGGGGUAACGGCCCACCAAACCGACGAUGGAUAGGGGUUCUGAGAGGAAGGUCCCCCACAUUGGUACUGAGACACGGACCAAACUCCUACGGAGGGCAGCAGUGAGGAAUAUUGGUCAAUGGGCGUAAGCCUGAACCAGCCAAGUCGCGUGAGGGAUGAAGGUUCUAUGGAUCGUAAACCUCUUUUAUAAGGGAAUAAAGUGCGGGACGUGUCCCGUUUUGUAUGUACCUUAUGAAUAAGGAUCGGCUAACUCCGUGCCAGCAGCCGCGGUAAUACGGAGGAUCCGAGCGUUAUCCGGAUUUAUUGGGUUUAAAGGGUGCGUAGGCGGCCUUUUAAGUCAGCGGUGAAAGUCUGUGGCUCAACCAUAGAAUUGCCGUUGAAACUGGGAGGCUUGAGUAUGUUUGAGGCAGGCGGAAUGCGUGGUGUAGCGGUGAAAUGCUUAGAUAUCACGCAGAACCCCGAUUGCGAAGGCAGCCUGCCAAGCCAUGACUGACGCUGAUGCACGAAAGCGUGGGGAUCAAACAGGAUUAGAUACCCUGGUAGUCCACGCAGUAAACGAUGAUCACUAGCUGUUUGCGAUACACAGUAA